GUCGGAGCAGAACUCCUGUCGGACAACAUCUCCAGGACUCUACGCUCCAUAUGACUAGGCAGUUUGUGAAGACAGAUAAUCAAGAGAUGUGACAAACAGUACAGAAGUCAGUUCCAGAUCCACCCUCCACACCAGACCUCUCUCUCAUAUGCACUGCUGUCUACUAGCAUACUUCGGUGGAUGCAGAUAUUACUCAGGGACAUGAACACUUGAAUAUUGCAAGCAUAGAGAAAGUAAGAAUUACUGAAGAUUUAAGAAUUUAAUGUUAAUUGCUUAAACAUUAUAUAUACUGUUUUAGCAAUUAACAUUAAUAGUUUUUUUUUUUUUUUUUUUUUUGGUGUCCAAAGCACCUAAAAGCCAAUUCACACCACCAUACUCCAGCAGUUCAAACAAAAUAAGCAUGUUUUUUAAAUAGUUUUUUUGGCAGUGUGAACUGGCCAUAAUGCUGUAUGUUAGGUGUGAGAUUCAUUAAACCUGAUUUGCUAUAAUACAUCUGUUCAUAAGAUAUUGCAUAUGAUUUUCAGUUAAUUUUAUUUGUAGUGGUUUGGUUAAGGGUGUGAUUAGCUGAUGUAUUAUUGUGGGAGCAUGUGAUUAGUUGAUGUGUGCAUGGUUAAUGAUGGCUCUCUUAAAUAUUUAAAUGCAAUGGGCUGAGUGACUACUAAGACUUGAAUAUUUGUGCAUAAUGUUUUGAUCCUGGAUGCUUACAGAAGGAUAUAGAUAUUUAAAUAUAUGGACAUUUAUUUAUUAUUAAUAUAUUUUAAUCUAUGUGCUUCUGUAUGGGCUGAAUGCUUUCAUUCAUAUUUUGCUGUAUAUCCUAUGUUUUUAUUAAUAAUUUGGGUGUAUUACUGGUCAUAUUUGUUUGUUAAUAAAUGAACUGAAUUCA